AUACGGAGGGUGCAAGCGUUAUCCGGAUUUACUGGGUUUAAAGGGUACGCAGGCGGUAAUUUAAGUCAGUGGUGAAAGCCUACAGCUCAACUGUAGAACUGCCAUUGAAACUGAAUUACUUGAGUAUGGUAGAGGUAGGCGGAAGACAACAUGUAGCGGUGAAAUGCAUAGAUAUGUUGUAGAACACCGAUUGCGAAGGCAGCUUACUAAACCAUUACUGACGCUCAUGUACGAAAGCGUGGGGAGCGAACAGGAUUAGAAACCCUAGUAGUCC
rnacentral:rRNA from 1 species